UACGAAGGGGGCUAGCGUUGUUCGGAAUUACUGGGCGUAAAGCGCACGUAGGCGGAUACUUAAGUCAGGGGUGAAAUCCUGGAGCUCAACUCCAGAACUGCCUUUGAUACUGAGGAUCUCGAGUCCGGGAGAGGUGAGUGGAACUCCGAGUGUAGAGGUGAAAUUCGUAGAUAUUCGGAAGAACACCAGUGGCGAAGGCGGCUCACUGGCCCGGUACUGACGCUGAUGUGCGAAAGCGUGGGGAGCAAACAGG
rnacentral:rRNA from 1 species